rnacentral:rRNA from 1 species
GACAGCAGUCAUAUCACCCUGCAAGUGACAACUGAUAGCCCAUUGAAGCUAAACAGGCGUGAGUCUGGUCAGUACCUGGAUGCGAGACCUCCUGGGAGAAACUAAGGUUGCUCAUG